UCUUCCAUGCACUUUGAUGACUUAUUUUUUCAAACUGUCAUCAAACUGCAUGGAGGUGGU
ensembl:miRNA oni-mir-10552 oni-mir-10552